rnacentral:lncRNA from 1 species
GGCACCAGUUGCUGAGAAUAUUCUCAGCGCAACUUAAUGAGUGCUUCAUAGAAAAACCUAUAAAGCCUUGUGUAAGCCUCUACUGGCUUCCAUAAACCAGGAAGGAAGAGCUUUGCCUUCGUAGCCCAGCUUACGCUGAGUGAUGGUAAAGCUGAGCGAGCGAGCUCAUAUGUUUAAUUAAUUUCAGAUUAUUGCUUCCUGCCUCGUGAGUCUAGAAUGGAAACUUCUCCAGGAUCUGUGCUCCCUCCCCUAAAACCUGUGCUGGGAAGGAUUAAACCUCUCCAUCCUCCCACACUCCUUGCUCUGCACCCCUCUGAGGUGGCUGUGCCAACACGAUCUGGUCACUGGAGCUGUUACACGCUCAGUUUGCUUUACAGGCAAGAAUGGCUUUUACAAGGUCUCCGUGUCUCCAGAGCUGAUGAUGCAAGCCCGUACGCAGCUGUCUCCUUCAAUAAAAUAAAGACUUAAAGUAGGCAAAUCUGACGCUUUCCCCAGCCGAUGACUGUGGCAGAGCUGGCAGGCACCCAGCCAACACAGCGCAAAUCCAUGCCACUGAUGCUGCACCCUGACCUCCCAGAACCUUGUCCUGGCCAGCCCCAGCACCCAGCACCCCCAGCCCUGGCACCCAGUGCCCCCAGUCCCAGCAGCAUCCCCAAGUCAGCACCGACACCAUGAGAGCUGGUCUGCCUUGUGUGAGCUCAGUCCUGCAGCAUGAGGAGCCAGACUCCUUUCAGUUUGCAGUCCUGCUAAUCUUGUCACACGCUGCAACGAGCUGAAAGUUUGGUGGGAAACAUCUGCUUUGGUCCCUGUUCGCUGCCCUGUGAUGCUCAGCCUGAUGCAGACCCCCUGUGACAGUGACCUUGUCUGACCAGCUGCUGUGAGACUGAUUGAGCAUCUUCCAGCCACGGAGGAAGAAAUAAACUGAGGGGGAACCAAAAAAAUUAAGGAGAAACAUGAAAACACCUGAAAACCUGUGAGGAACAUGCUACCUCCUGCUUGCAGCCCUUUCUGCUCGUCGUGCACCCCUCUGACCUUCUGCAGGUGCUGGCUGGGGAUGGAGGCACUGCUCGUCCCGAGCCCCUACAACGCCCGGUGCUGCCCUUGCAUCAGCUUCAGCCUUGGGGUGCAGAAAUCCCACCUGGAGGGACUUGGCUCCAUCAUUAACGCUUUGCCCUUUAAAAUGCUCAUCACGCAGCGAGCGCUGAGCCGAGGAGCUCCUCACCGGCACAGAGCAGCUGCGAUGCCGUUAUCCUGCUUUACCCACUCGUGUUGCACACAGUCCUGCUGGAUGAAGAGGUGUUAA